UAGCUCAGCAGCAUAAGCGCCUGCCUUGCAAGCAGGCAGUCCUGAGUUCGAUUCCCAG
rnacentral:tRNA from 1 species